ensembl:snoRNA
UACCCCUGGCAGUGGGUAAAGAGACACCUUGUUGGUGAUGAUGUUCUUCUAUCUGUCAGGGGCGGAACAGAUAGCAGUCUUUUGUUCAUCCUAGCUUGGUGCCUGGCUUAGUGGCCAAAGCUGUCUUAUGCCUAGGACAAAUAA